GGCCGGGUAGCUCAGUCGGUAGAGCAGGGGAUUGAAAAUCCCCGUGUCGGCAGUUCGAUUCUGUCCCCGGCCA
rnacentral:tRNA from 1 species